rnacentral:rRNA from 1 species
GAUGAACGCUGGCGGCGUGCCUAAUACAUGCAAGUCGAGCGGUAAGGCCUCUUCGGAGGUACACGAGCGGCGGACGGCUGAGUAACACGUAGGAACGUACCCCAAACUGAGGGAUAACUCUGGGAAACCAGAGCUAAUACCGCAUGUGCUCCAAGGAGUAAAGCUUCGGCGGUUUGGGAACGGCCUGCGCAUGAUUAGCUUGUUGGUGAGGUAAUGGCUCACCAAGGCGACGAUCAUUAGCUGGUCUGAGAGGAUGAUCAGCCAGACUGGGACUGAGACACGGCCCAGACUCCUACGGGAGGCAGCAGUAGGGAAUUUUCCACAAUGGACGAAAGUCUGAUGGAGCAACGCCGCGUGCAGGAUGAAGGCCCUUGGGUCGUAAACUGCUUUUAUAUGUGAAGAUUAUGACGGUAGCAUAUGAAUAAGGAUCGGCUAACUCCGUGCCAGCAGCCGCCGCGG